rnacentral:rRNA from 1 species
GAAACGACUCUCGGCAACGGAUAUCUCGGCUCACGCAUCGAUGAAGAACGUAGCAAAAUGCGAUACUUGGUGUGAAUUGCAGAAUCCCGUGAACCAUCGAGUUUUUGAACGCAAGUUGCGCCCGAAGCCAUCCGGUUGAGGGCACGCCUGCCUGGGCGUCUCGC